UACGUAGGGGCCUAGCGUUGUCCGGAUUCAUUGGGCGUAAAGAGCGUGUAGGCGGCCAGGUAGGUCGGUUGUGAAAACUGGAGGCUCAACCUUCAGAGGUCGACCGAAACCAUCUGGCUAGAGUCCGGGAGAGGAGAGUGGAAUUCCUGGUGUAGCGGUGAAAUGCGUAGAUAUCUGGAGGAACACCGGUGGCGAAGGCGGCAUCCUGGACCGGUAUUGACGCUGAGGCGCGAAAGCCAGGGGAGCAAAGCGGG
rnacentral:rRNA from 1 species